CCCAGACUCCUACGGGAGGCAGCAGUGGGGAAUAUUGCACAAUGGGGGGAACCCUGAUGCAGCGACGCCGCGUGGGCGAGGAAGUAUUUCGGUAUGUAAAGCCCUAUCGGCAGGGAAGAAGAAAUGACGGUACCUGAAUAAGAAGCACCGGCUAACUACGUGCCAGCAGCCGCGGUAAUACGUAGGGGGCAAGCGUUAUCCGGAUUUACUGGGUGUAAAGGGGGCGCAGACGGCAGCGCAAGCCAGGAGUGAAAGCCCGGGGCCCAACCCCGGGACUGCUCUUGGAACUGCGCGGCUGGAGUGCAGGAGGGGCAGGCGGAAUUCCUGGUGUAGCGGUGAAAUGCGUAGAUAUUAGGAGGAACACCAGUGGCGAAGGCGGCUUACUGGACGGCAACUGACGCUGAGGCUCGAAAGCGUGGGGAGCAAACAGGAUUAGAUACCCGUGUAU
rnacentral:rRNA from 1 species